UCCAGACUCCUACGGGAGGCAGCAGUGAGGAAUAUUGGUCAAUGGUCGGGAGACUGAACCAGCCAAGCCGCGUGAGGGAGGAAGGUACAGAGUAUCGUAAACCUCUUUUGUCAGGGAACAAAGGCGGGGACGUGCCCCCGGAUGAGUGUACCUGAAGAAAAAGCAUCGGCUAACUCCGUGCCAGCAGCCGCGGUAAUACGGAGGAUGCGAGCGUUAUCCGGAUUUAUUGGUUUAAAGGGUGCGCAGGCGGAGGUGCAAGUCAGCGGUCAAAUUGCGGGGCUCAACCCCGUACUGCCGUUGAAACUGCAUCCCUUGAGUGCGCGAGAAGUAUGCGGAAUGCGUGGUGUAGCGGUGAAAUGCAUAGAUAUCACGCAGAACUCCGAUUGCGAAGGCAGCAUACCGGCGCUCAACUGACGCUCAUGCACGAAAGUGUGGGUAUCGAACAGGAUUAGAUACCCUUGUA
rnacentral:rRNA from 1 species